rnacentral:rRNA from 1 species
GACGAACGCUGGCGGCGUGCUUAACACAUGCAAGUCGAACGGAAAGGCCCUGCUUGCAGGGUACUCGAGUGGCGAACGGGUGAGUAACACGUGGGUGAUCUGCCCUGCACUUCGGGAUAAGCCUGGGAAACUGGGUCUAAUACCGGAUAGGAGCCAUUUUUAGUGUGAUGGUUGGAAAGUUUUUUCGGUGUAGGAUGAGCUCGCGGCCUAUCAGCUUGUUGGUGGGGUAAUGGCCUACCAAGGCGGCGACGGGUAGCCGGCCUGAGAGGGUGGACGGCCACAUUGGGACUGAGAUACGGCCCAGACUCCUACGGGAGGCAGCAGUGGGGAAGAUUGCAUAAGGGGCGCAAGCCUGAUGCAGCGACGCCGCGGGGGGGAUGACGGCCUUCGGGUUGUAAACUCCUUUCGCUAGGGACGAAGCUUUUUGUGACGGUACCUAGAUAAGAAGCACCGGCUAACUACGUG